rnacentral:lncRNA from 1 species
AAAAAUAUCAUUAUUGGUCAAAUUUUUAAAUAAAUGAAUAAAAACAAAUGCCCAUAAAAGCAAUGGCAACAAAAAGAUUUGCAUAUUCUACAUUCAGAUAUUGAAUACUUAUUUAUUUUUAACUCACCUGACCUGAAAGGUCAAGUGAGCUUUUCUCAUCACUUGGCGUCUGUCGUCUGUAAACUUUUACAAAAAUCUUCUCCUCUGAAACUACUGGGCCAAAUUUAACUAAACUUGGCCACAAUCCUCGUUGGAGUAUCUAGUUUAAAAAUGUGUGGCGUGACCCUGCCAACCAACCAAGAUGGCCGCCAUGGCUAAAAGUAGAACAUAGGGGUAAAAUGUAGAUUUUGGCUUAUAACUCUGAAACCAAAGCAUUUAGAGCAAAUCUGAC